rnacentral:rRNA from 1 species
AUUGAACGCUGGCGGCAGGCCUAACACAUGCAAGUCGAGCGAGCGGCGGACGGGUGAGUAAUGUAUGGGGACUGCCCGAUAGAGGGGGAUAACUACUGGAAACGGUGGCUAAUACCGCAUACUAUCGGAUAACCCAUAUGGGAUUAGCUAGUAGGUGGGGUAAAGGCUCACCUAGGCGACGAUCUCUAGCUGGUCUGAGAGGAUGAUCCGCCACACCGGGACUGGGACACGGCGCAGAAGCCAAGGGAGGCAGCAGGGGGGAAUGUUGGACAAUGGGCGCAAGCCUGAUACAGCCAUGCAGCGUGUAUGAAGAAGGCAUGAGGGUUGUAAAGUACUUUCGGGGAGGAGGAGUUACGCACAGAAGAAGCACCGGCUAACUCCGUGACAGCAGCCGCGGUAAUUC